CGUCACUUCCCUAUUUCUUGUUCCUUCAGAGGCUUCAGAACUCUUCAUAACCCUCCAAAAUCCCUUGCCCCAAGUCUCCUAUUUCGGUACCUGAAUAGCGUUGGUAUUUACUUACAGGUCCCACCAAACCGUCCAAACUGUGCCUUCAGCUUUCUUAGUCUCCUUUUCCUUCCAUGAGAGCUCCCAUGGGCGUAUCUGUUUUUAAGUGAGAAAGAUCUUGGUCCAUUUUCCUCGGCCUUCCCUACCGCCCCUUUCUGCCACACAUUAGGAGUCACAGCUUGUCUCCUUUCGAGCCAAAUAAAUUCCGUGCAGGCAUAGGUAUCCUUCUGUGUUCAGUAUUCGUGAGGGCUAUUUUUAACUGUCAACCUAUGUUUAAAAUCACCCAGUGACACACCUUUGGGCACAUCUAUGAUGGUGUUUCCAGAGUUUUUCCAAGGGAAGGAGCUAUCCUAUGGACCGAAGUCCCAGGCUCAUUACAAAGGAGUUGUUGGGAAGAAGCCAGCAUCUCGGCGUCUUGUGGAGAAAUGUGCCAGCAGUGUCCUGUUUUUGCUGCCAUGCAUCUCCCCACUGUGAUGGACCAUAAGCCAAAAGAAAUCCAUCUGAAGUUGCACUUGUCAAAUAUUUUGUCGCAGCAGUGAUACCAUCAAAAUGACAACUUCAGGAGCAGUAUGAUGAGACAGAAUACAGUUUACCCGCCUGGAACCGCUGGGCGAGAUUGCUGCUCUGAUGGUGCUUUUUGGAGCACCAUCUAGCACUGUCUCUGCCCAGUGUUACAGUCAACAGUGUUACUGAGACUAAAAAGGGGGAGACCCACCUCUCCAUGGGGCAAGUGAAAGGGCUUCUCAACUGCUUGUUCAGGAAACUGAUGUGCGCUCAUGGUGGGGUGUGCAUGCACCUGUGUGCACAAAGAGACACGAGGUCGAUGCCAGGUGCCUUCCUUAACUGCUCUCCACCUUACAUCUUGAGUUUUGUCCUAUACAGCAAGAAGCAGCUGGACCAGGCUGGCAUGGAGAUCUCCUAAAUGGGAGGUCGAAGAAACCAUAACGUGUGCUCGUCUUCAUUUUGUAUUCCUUGAUUCCAGUCGUUGGUACACUGUAGGCACCAGUGGUGUGUGCUCUUUGAAGGCCGUGCUCCUGGAACAAGGGCGGCUGCAGAAACUGCUAACUCCUUUUCCCAUUAACGCCAACUCCUGCGAACCUCUACUGCUCUCCUCAUUCAUUCUCCCCAUCGUCACUCUAACAACCAGCACUCUGAAAAAAGCCAUGUUCCUCCUGCACUCCCAGUAUUUUAAGCCAAAAGUCACAUGCCAGCUUUCCCAUCUCUAAGGGAGGUAACAAGAAAAUGACUGAGAGAAAUUCAAGGAGGGCAGGUCCCUCCGCUGCCGGCCCCGGGCCCCACACUCCCACCCUGGCUCGCCAUGCAGAGACUUCCAGCUGCCCGGCAGUUCCCAGGCCCCCACCCCGACCACCCCCACAUCCUGCACUCACUGUU